rnacentral:rRNA from 1 species
UACAGAGGUCUCAAGCGUUGUUCGGGUUCAUUGGGCGUAAAGGGUGCGUAGGCGGCGCGGUAAGUCGGGUGUGAAAUCUCGGAGCUUAACUCCGAAACUGCAUUCGAUACUGCCGUGCUUGAGGACUGGAGAGGAGACUGGAAUUUACGGUGUAGCGGUGAAAUGCGUAGAUAUCGGAAGGAACAUCAGUGGCGAAAGCGACUUCCUGGACCAGUACCGACGUUCAGGCACGAAAGCGUGGGGAGCAAACAGG